rnacentral:sRNA from 1 species
CUUCUUCGAUCUGCUGGGGGCAGAUGAAGUGGAUAUGGGCGUCCAUGCCGCCGGCGGUGAGAAUCUUGCCUUCGCCGGCAAUGGCUUCAGUCGAGGGGCCGAUGAUGAUGUCGACGGCCGAUUGUGUGUCGGGAUUGCCGGCCUUGCCGAUUCCGACGAUGCGCCCGUUCUUAAGGCCGAUAUCGGCCUUGAAGAUGCCGGUAUAGUCAACGACGAGCGCAUUGGUAAUCACGGUGUCGACGGCGCCUUCGGCGCGGGUGCGCUGGGAUUGUCCCAUGCCGUCGCGGAU